CCUACGGGAGGCUGCAGUGAGGAAUAUUGGUCAAUGGGCGCUAGCCUGAACCAGCCAAGUAGCGUGCAGGAUGACUGCCCUAUGGGUUGUAAACUUCUUUUAUAUGGGAAUUAAUUGCAGUAUCUAUACUGCUUUGCAUGUACCUUAUGAAUAAUGAUCGGCUAACUCCGUGCCAGCAGCCGCGGUAAUACGGAGGAUCCGAGCGUUAACCGGGUUUAUUGGGGUUAAAGGGUGUGUAGGCGGGUUGUUAAGUCAGUUGUGAAAGUUUGUGUCUCAACCGUAAAAUUGCAGUUGAUACUGGCAUCCUUGAGUACAGGAGAGGUAGGCGGAAUUCGUGGGGUAGCGGUGAAAUGCUUAGAGAUCACGAGGAAUUCCGAUUGCGAAGGCAGCCUGCUGGACUGUAACUGACGCUGAUGCUCGAAAGUGUGGGUAUCAAACAGGAUUAGAUACCCGGGUAGUC
rnacentral:rRNA from 1 species